rnacentral:rRNA from 1 species
AUUGAACGCUGGCGGCAUGCCUUACACAUGCAAGUCGAACGGUAACAGGGAGCUUGCUCCGCUGACAAGUGGCGAACGGGUGAGUAAUGUAUCGGAACGUACCAUUCAGUGGGGGAUAACGUAGCGAAAGUUACGCUAAUACCGCAUAUUCUGUGAGCAGGAAAGCAGGGGAUCGCAAGACCUUGCGCUGAUUGAGCGGCCGAUAUCAGAUUAGCUAGUUGGUGAGGUAAAGGCUCACCAAGGCGACGAUCUGUAGCGGGUCUGAGAGGAUGAUCCGCCACACUGGAACUGAGACACGGUCCAGACUCCUACGGGAGGCAGCAGUGGGGAAUUUUGGACAAUGGGGGCAACCCUGAUCCAGCCAUGCCGCGUGAGUGAAGAAGGCCUUCGGGUUGUAAAGCUCUUUCGGCCGGGAAAAAAUCGCAUCAGUUAAUACCUGGUGUGGAUGAUGGUACCGGAAUAAGAAGCACCGGCUAACUACGUG